CAAUGGCGUAUAUUAAAGUUGUUGCGGUUAAAAAGCUCGUAGUUGGAUUUCUGCCGAGGACGACCGGUCCGCCCUCUGGGUGAGUAUCUGGCUCGACCUGGGCAUCCUUCCAGAGAAUGUGUCUGCUCUUGACUGAGUGGUGCAGUAUCUGGAACUUUUACUUUGAGGAAAUUAGAGUGUUCAAAGCAGGCCUAUGCUCUGAAUAGGUUAGCAUGGAAUAAUAGAAUAGGACUUUGGUUCUAUUUUGUUGGUUUCUAGGACCGAAGUAAUGAUUAAUAGGGACAGUUGGGGGCAUUCAUAUUCCAUUGUCAGAGGUGAAAUUCUUGGAUUAACGGAAGAUGAACUUCUGCGAAAGCAUCUGCCAAGGAUGUUUUCAUUGAUCAAGAACGAAAGUUAGGGAUCGAAGAUGAUCAGAUACCAU
rnacentral:rRNA from 1 species